rnacentral:rRNA from 1 species
AGUGAACGCUGGCGGUAGGCCUAACACAUGCAAGUCGAACGGCAGCACAGUAAGAGCUUGCUCUUACGGGUGGCGAGUGGCGGACGGGUGAGGAAUACAUCGGAAUCUACUUUUUCGUGGGGGAUAACGUAGGGAAACUUACGCUAAUACCGCAUACGACCUACGGGUGAAAGCAGGGGAUCUUCGGACCUUGCGCGAUUGAAUGAGCCGAUGUGGGAUUAGCUAGUUGGCGGGGUAAAGGCCCACCAAGGCGACGAUCCGUAGCUGGUCUGAGAGGAUGAUCAGCCACAAUGGAACUGAGACACGGUCCAGACUACUACGGGAGGCAGCAGUGGGGAAUAUUGGACAAUGGGCGCAAGCCUGAUCCAGCCAGACCGCGUGGGUGAAGAAGGCCUUCGGGUUGUAAAGCCCUUUUGUUGGGAAAGAAAAGCAGCAGGUUAAUACCCCGCUGUUCUGACGGUACCCAAAGAAUAAGCACCGGCUAACUUCGUG